rnacentral:rRNA from 1 species
CUUUACUGUAUCCUGGAAUUGAAUUUGGGUUUAUUUUGCGCAGCAUAGGUGGGAGGCUAAGACUGUUUAUUCGAGGAUAUUCACGAGCCAUCAGUGAGAUACCACUCUAAUUAAACUAGAAUUCUAACUUUGAUUGUCGUUAUCCGGCCAAAGAACAGUUUCAGGUGGGCAGUUUGACUGGGGCGGUCGCCUCCUAAAAGGUAACGGAGGCGUGCAAAGGUUUCUUCAGGCUGGUUGGAAAUCAGUCGUAGAGUGUAAAGGCAUAAAGAAGCUUGACUGCAAGACCUACAAGUCGAGCAGAGACGAAAGUCGGCCUUAGUGAUCCGACAGUACUGAGUGGAAAGGCUGUCGCUCAACGGAUAAAAGUUA